CCUACGGUGUGCAGCAGUGGGGGAUAUUGCACAAUGGGGGAAACCCUGAUGCAGCGACGCCGCGUGUGGGAAGACGUUCCUCGGGAUUUUAAACCCCUGUCCCCAGGGACAAACAUGACGGUACCUGGGGAGGAAGCUCCGGCUAACUACGUGCCAGCAGCCGCGGUAAUACGUAGGGAGCGAGCGUUGUCCGGAAUUACUGGGUGUAAAGGGAGCGUAGACGGGGAUGCAAGUUGGGUGUCAAAACUACCGGCUCAACUGGUAGUCGCACUCGAAACUGCAGCUCUUGAGUGAAGUAGAGGCAGGCGGAAGUCCUAGUGUAGCGGUGAAAUGCGUAGAUAUUAGGAGGAACACCAGCGGCGAAGGCGGCCUGCUGGGC
rnacentral:rRNA from 1 species